rnacentral:rRNA from 1 species
GACGAACGCUGGCGGCGUGCCUAAUACAUGCAAGUAGAACGCUGAAGCGAGGAGCUUGCUCUUCUUGGAUGAGUUGCGAACGGGUGAGUAACGCGUAGGUAACCUGCCUUGUAGCGGGGGAUAACUAUUGGAAACGAUAGCUAAUACCGCAUAACAAUGGAUGACACAUGGCAUUUAUUUGAAAGGGGCAAUUGCUCCACUACAAGAUGGACCUGCGUUGUAUUAGCUAGAAGGUGAGGUAAGGGCUCACCUAGGCGACGAUACAUAGCCGACCUGGGAGGGUGCUCCGCCACACUGGGACUGAGACACGGCCCAGACUCCUACGGGGGGCAGCAGGAGGGAAACUUCGGCAAUGGGGGCAACCCUGACCGCGCAACGCCGCGUGAGUGAAGAAGGGUUUCGGAUCGUAAAGCUCUGUUGUAAGUCAAGAACGGGCGUGAGAGUGGAAAGUUCCCACUGUGACGGUAGCUUAACAGAAAGCGACGGCUAACUACGUG